rnacentral:rRNA from 1 species
AUGGAACGAAGCAGCCGAUCAAUCACAGCCACAGACAGGGUCGUUCCCCGUCCUCCUCCGCCCGCCGCCGCCCGCCGCCCGCCGCCUAUGCUUUCCUCUCCCGGGAACCCGCAUCCACGAUACUUAUUUGACCAAAAGCUUGUUAGAGACUUGCCUGUGAUACUGGUGAAUACUGAUCAAGCAAAAGACUCUGACAGCAUGGAAACAUACACUACGGAUGACGCGCUUUCAGCCAUGGGGUUUGGCAGAUUCCAGGCGCUUGUUCUUGCUUAUGCAGGAAUGGGUUGGGUUGUAGAAGCCAUGGAGCUCAACCUACUGUCAUUUGUUGGACCGUUGGUUCGGGAGGAGUGGAAAGUCUCUGCCCAAGAUGAGAGCCUACUCUCAAGUGUGGUCUUUGCCGGCAUGCUAACCGGCUCAUGUGCUUGGGGCUUUGUUUCUGACAGAUAUGGUCGAAGGACCGUUUUGCUGUUUUCAGCUCUGUUCACUAGCGGAAUGGGCUUCUUGAGUGCCUGGUCUCCCAACUAUUUAUGCUUGAUCGCUCUUCGGUUUCUCGUCGGCGUGGGAGUGGGUGGCGGGCAUGUGUUCUCAUCUUGGUUUUUGGAGUUUGUUCCUGCCCAAAAUCGUGGCACUUGCGUGGUUCUUUUUUCGCUUUUUUGGACUAUCGGCACCGUCUUGGAGGCUUCACUUGCAUGGGUUGUCAUAUCGGCAUUGAAUUGGCGGUGGUUGCUAGUAUUGACCUCCAUUCCAUGCUUCCUCUUGCUUCCAUUCUUUCGAAUAAUACCUGAAUCACCACGCUAUCUUUGUGCACAAAAUAGAAUGUCAGACGCUACACUUGUCCUGGAGAGUGUCUCUAUGAUAAACCAAGAAGAUCUUCCUCCUGGAGUUCUCACAUACCGCCGUGAAAGUAAAGUUGACACUCUUACAUCUGAGACCGAAAUAGAUCAUCUUCUUCCAGUCAGAGAGACAGAAUGCAAAGCUAACAAUGCCUUGAGCUUCAAAUCUGGCGCCGCUGCUGCACUGCGAAGGCUAUUGUCGCCAGCAUUGCGCCGAUCAACUCUUCUUCUUUGGUUUGUUUACUUUGCAAAUUCCUUUGCAUAUUAUGGGGUGGUCUUGCUGACAUCUCAGCUGAGCGAUGCCAAUACAAACUGCCCAUCUGGGCUGACAACUGUACAACGUCAAGAAGAUGCUAACCUUUACAGGGAUACAUUUGUUACGAGUUUAGCAGAGAUUCCUGGUCUAAUUGUAUCUGCCAUUCUUGUUGAAUGGAUUGGCCGGAAAGCUACAAUGUGGUCCAUGCUCUUCACUUGUUGUGCUUUCCUUGGGCCACUAGUACUUCAUCAGGAUGAGCUACUUACAACUGCACUCCUAUUCGGUGCUCGCGCAUGUGCCAUGGGUAGCUCCACAGUUCUAUGUUUAUAUGCCCCAGAGGUAUAUCCAACAUCAGUCCGCUCGACCGGUGUUGGGCUAGCAACCUCCAUUGGUAAAAUUGGUGGGGUUAUAUGCCCUCUUGUCGCUGUCGGCAUGCUACGGACCUGCCAUCAAAUGGAAGCCGUUUUUGUGUUUGAGCUGGUGUUAUGCCUCGCUGGAGUGGCCUGCAUUCUCUUCCCUGUAGAAACCAAGGGCCGUGAAAUUGACUGA